rnacentral:rRNA from 1 species
CAGUAGCCGCGGUAAUACGAAGGGUGCAAGCGUUAAUCGGAAUUACUGGGCGUAAAGCGUGCGUAGGCGGUGAGUUAAGUCUGCUGUGAAAUCCCCGGGCUCAACCUGGGAAUGGCAGUGGAUACUGGCUCGCUAGAGUGUGUCAGAGGAUGGUGGAAUUCCCGGUGUAGCGGUGAAAUGCGUAGAGAUCGGGAGGAACAUCAGUGGCGAAGGCGGCCAUCUGGGACAACACUGACGCUGAGGCACGAAAGCGUGGGGAGCAAACAGGAUUAGAUACCCGUGUAGUCCCUGUCACUUAUAU